rnacentral:rRNA from 1 species
AACGAACGCUGGCGGCAUGCCUAACACAUGCAAGUCGAACGAGACCUUCGGGUCUAGUGGCGCACGGGUGCGUAACGCGUGGGAACCUGCCCUUAGGUUCGGAAUAACUCCCCGAAAGGGGUGCUAAUACCGGAUAAUGUCUUCGGACCAAAGAUUUAUCGCCUUUGGAUGGGCCCGCGUUGGAUUAGCUAGUUGUUAGGGUAAAAGCCGACCAAGGCGACGAUCCAUAGCUGGUCUGAGAGGAUGAUCAGCCACACUGGGACUGAGACACGGCCCAGACUCCUACGGGAGGCAGCAGUGGGGAAUAUUGGACAAUGGGCGAAAGCCUGAUCCAGCAAUGCCGCGUGAGUGAUGAAGGCCUUAGGGUUGUAAAGCUCUUUUACCCGGGAUGAUAAUGACAGUACCGGGAGAAUAAGCUACGGCUAACUCCGUG